rnacentral:lncRNA from 1 species
GGUGGUUCUAUGAUGGGCUUGGGCUUGAAUUUUGUUACUUUUCUUGGUUAUAAAUACCCCUAUUUCGAGUUCAGAGUCAUUCUUUUGACAGGGGAGAACGGCCAAACCUAAUUUCGCUCUCUGGAGAGGACCUCUUGGAUGCUUAGGCUCCUUUUCAUCUUUUCUAGGGUUUGCUUUUCCAUUCUUCUUCCAUUUUUCAUCUAGUUUCACCAUGUCUAUGGUGAACUAAACCCUAUUGUUGUUGGGGNN